UAGGGAAUCUUCGGCAAUGGGGGCAACCCUGACCGAGCAACGCCGCGUGAGUGAAGAAGGUUUUCGGAUCGUAAAGCUCUGUUGUAAGAGAAGAACGUGUGUGAGAGUGGAAAGUUCACACAGUGACGGUAACUUACCAGAAAGGGACGGCUAACUAAGUGCCAGCAGCCGCGGUAAUACGUAGGUCCCGAGCGUGGUCCGGAUUUAUUGGGCGUAAAGCGAGCGCAGGCGGUUUAAUAAGUCUGAAGUUAAAGGCAGUGGCUUAACCAUUGUUCGCUUUGGAAACUGUUAAACUUGAGUGCAGAAGGGGAGAGUGGAAUUCCAUGUGUAGCGGUGAAAUGCGUAGAUAUAUGGAGGAACACCGGUGGCGAAAGCGGCUCUCUGGUCUGUAACUGACGCUGAGGCUCGAAAGCGUGGGGAGCAAACAGG
rnacentral:rRNA from 1 species